AUUGAACGCUGGCGGCAGGCCUAACACAUGCAAGUCGAGCGGAUGACGGGAGCUUGCUCCUUGAUUCAGCGGCGGACGGGUGAGUAAUGCCUAGGAAUCUGCCUGGUAGUGGGGGACAACGUUUCAAAAGGAACGCUAAUACCGCAUACGUCCUACGGGAGAAAGCAGGGGACCUUCGGGCCUUGCGCUAUCAGAUGAGCCUAGGUCGGAUUAGCUAGUUGGUGAGGUAAUGGCUCACCAAGGCGACGAUCCGUAACUGGUCUGAGAGGAUGAUCAGUCACACUGGAACUGAGACACGGUCCAGACUCCUACGGGAGGCAGCAGUGGGGAAUAUUGGACAAUGGGCGAAAGCCUGAUCCAGCCAUGCCGCGUGUGUGAAGAAGGUCUUCGGAUUGUAAAGCACUUUAAGUUGGGAGGAAGGGCAGUAAGUUAAUACCUUGCUGUUUUGACGUUACCGACAGAAUAAGCACCGGCUAACUCUGUGCCAGCCGCCGCCGUAAGAC
rnacentral:rRNA from 1 species